AUGGCUCCCAAACAAGCAAGUCCUCAUACUCAGACCAAUUCUUCGCGGAGGGUCGCCGCGGUUUCCUGCUUCAGCAGUGCUUGGACGGAACCCGGCGCUCGACCCCCGCUCCGGCCGGCCGCUAAGCGCCAGCCCUCGCCACCACCUCACUGCGCCCUCCGGCCGCCCCAAGGUCCCCGCCGCCGCCUUUCCUCCGCCGCCCGCCAUCCGCCAUGAUGACUGCGUCCCCCUCGCAGGUGCGCCAGAACUACCACCAGGGCUCGGAGGCCGCCAUCAGCCGCCAGAUCGACCUGGAGCUCUACGCCUCCUACGUCUACCUGUCCGUGUCAUACUAUUUUGACCGCGAUGAUGUGGCUUUGAAGAACUUUGCCAAAUACUUUCUUCACCAGUCUCGUGAGGAGAGGGAACAUGCUGAGAAACUGAUGAAGCUGCAGAACCAACGGGGUGGUGGAAUCUUCCUUCAGGAGAUCAAGAAACCAGACCGUGAUGACUGGCAGAAUGGGCUGAAUGCAAUGGAAUGUGCGCUACACUUGGAAAAGAGUGUGAAUCCGUCACUACCGGAACUGCACAAACUGGCCACUGGCAAAAAAUGACCCCCAUUUGUGUGACUUCAUUGAGACUCAUUACCUGAAUGAGGAGGUGAAAUCCAUUAAAGAAUUGGGUGACCACGUAACCAACUUGCGCAAGAUGGGGGCCCCCGAAUCUGGCAUGGCAGAGUAUCUCUUUGACAAGCACACCCUGGGAAACAGUGAUAAUGAGAGCUAA